GGCCGCCUGGCGAAAUGGCAUCGCGUCUGACUACGAAUUUCAGAAAUACGGCAUCAGGAGAUUGCAGGUUCGACCCCUGCGGUGGUCA